rnacentral:rRNA from 1 species
GCUUGACAUGACGGUGGUAGGGAACCGAAAGGGGACCGACCUUCGGGAGCCGCCACAGGUGCUGCAUGGCUGUCGUCAGCUCGUGUCGUGAGAUGUUCGGUUAAGUCCGGUAACGAGCGCAACCCUCAUCGCUAGUUACAAGUGUCUAGCGAGACUGCCCGUUCAACGCGGGAGGAAGGCGGGGAUGACGUCAAGUCAGCAUGGCCUUUAUGUCCAGGGCUACACACACGCUACAAUGGCCGGUACAAUGGGUCGCCAACCCGCGAGGGGGAGCCAAUCCACCAAAGCCGGUCACAGUUCGAAUUGCAGGCUGCAACCCGCCUGCAUGAAGUCGGAGUUGCUAGUAACCGCAGGUCAGCUAUACUGCGGUGAAUACGUUCCCGGGCCUUGUACACACCGCCCGUCACGUCAUGGGAGCUGGUCAUGCCUGAAGUCGGUGAGCCAACCGCAAGGAGGCAGCCGCCUAAGGCAGGGCUGGUGACUGGGACGAAGUCGUAACAAGGUAACCAAGGGCGAA